AGAGUUUGAUCCUGGCUCAGGACGAACGCUGGCGGCGUGCCUAACACAUGCAAGUCGAACGGAGUCUUGCGCUGAACGGAAGUCAGCUUGCUGAAUGAAGUUCUUGUAAGACUUAGUGGCGGACGGGUGAGUAACGCGUGAGCAACCUGCCUUACAGAGGGGGACAACAGUUGGAAACGACUGCUAAUACCGCAUGAAAUAUGUUUACGGCAUCGUAGAUGUAUCAAAGAUUUAUCGCUGUAAGAUGGGCUCGCGUUGGAUUAGGUAGUUGGUGAGGUAACGGCUCACCAAGCCGACGAUCCAUAGCCGGACUGAGAGGUUGAACGGCCACAUUGGGACUGAGACACGGCCCAGACUCCUACGGGAGGCAGCAGUGGGGGAUAUUGCACAAUGGGGGAAACCCUGAUGCAGCAACGCCGCGUGAGGGAAGAAGGUCUUCGGACUGUAAACCUUUGUUUUUAGUGACGAAAAAAUGACGGUAGCUAAAGAGGAAGCCACGGCUAACUACGUGCCAGCAGCCGCGGUAAUACGUAGGUGGCAAGCGUUGUCCGGAAUUACUGGGUGUAAAGGGUGCGCAGGCGGGAUUGCAAGUUGGAUGUGAAAUACCGAGGCUUAACCUCGGAGCUGCAUCCAAACCUGUAGUUCUUGAGUGAAGUAGAGGUAGGCGGAAUUCCGAGUGUAGCGGUGAAACGCGUAGAUAUUCGGAGGAACACCAGUGGCGAAGGCGGCCUGCUGGGCUUUAACUGACGCUGAGGCACGAAAGCAUGGGGAGCAAACAGGAUUAGAUACCCUGGUAGUCCAUGCUGUAAACGAUGA
rnacentral:rRNA from 1 species